GACAGCAGGGGCCUUUGAUUUUUACAGAGCCUGACGUGCCUUGCAUCAGGAGGUGGUGGUGUCUGCUGCUUUUGGAGAAUUUCCCCUUGAGGUCUGAUGAAGAAAGACGGGCAACAAAAAGACAAAUGAGGCAUACUGAAAAGAAUGUAU